rnacentral:rRNA from 1 species
UACAGAGGGUGCGAGCGUUGUCCGGAAUCACUGGGCGUAAAGGGCGUGUAGGCGGCUGGAUAAGCCGCGUGUGAAAUCCCGGGGCUCAACCCCGGAACGGCACGCGGGACUGUUCGGCUAGAGACUGGUAGAGGCAAGUGGAAUUCCUGGUGUAGCGGUGGAAUGCGUAGAGAUCAGGAAGAACACCGGUGGCGAAGGCGGCUUGCUGGGCCAGUUCUGACGCUGAGGCGCGAAAGCGUGGGGAGCAAACAGG